rnacentral:rRNA from 1 species
UGGCUCAGAACGAACGCUGGCGGCGUGCGUAACACAUGCAAGUCGGACGCGCGUGGGGAGACCCAUGGCGCGUGGCGGACGGGUGAGGAACACGUGAGGAACCUGGCCUUUAGUGGGGGACAACCUGCAGAAAUGCGGGCUAAUCCCGCAUACGGCUCACUAGGGAGGGCUAGUGAGAGAAAGCCGAGAGGCGCUGAAGGAGGGGCUUGCGGCCGAUUAGCUAGUUGGUGUGGUAAGAGCGCACCAAGGCGAGGAUAGGUAGCUGGUCUGAGAGGACGAGCAGCCACACUGGGAUUUUUCUCGGCCCAGAGGACUACGGGAGGCAGCA